CAAAAAAAAAAAAAAAGAAGACUUUUUUCCACACUAUAAAAUGAUCAACCAAUUCCUAUUUCUAGAUUCAUAAAAGAGAAAAUAUGGCUAAAUGUUAUAUAUUUAUUUAUGCUAUGGUUAUCAUUUUUUCCAUAUUUAUUUCUAUAACAAAUUGCAGUAAGUAAUUUUUAUCAAGACUUCUAAAUUUGGUGAACGAUCGUACUUGAGAGUUUAGUUUGAUUCUGGCACACAGUACAUAUGCGAAACAACUGUGGAUUGUCACACUUUCAAUUUGUUCUGUAUCCCACCUAAAGUUCUUAAUUGCAGAUUCAAAAUUGUGGAAGGUUUAAAGUCGAAAUAUGGGCUUUGUGAUUGUACAGAAAUACCUUAAUUAGUGGCUUAUGAAUGUGUGUAGAAACCAUAAAAUAAUUUCUUUCUAAAUAAUGUUUAAAGAGCAUUCUAGAGUCAUUCUUUAGUAAUAUCUUUAAAAUUAAAUAAGUGGUUUGUACCCAAAAAGAAUAAAAAUAACUGGUUUCUUAACUAGUGCCACAUAUAGAUAUUAGUUAGCAUUUUUCAUUAAUUAUGCUAUUUUUAACCAUAUAAUAAUGUUGGUUCUUUUAUGAUUUAUUUCACACAUAUUUUAAUUUUCCUGA